rnacentral:rRNA from 1 species
GAAGUAAAAGUCGUAACAAGGUUUCCGUAGGUGANCCUGCGGANGGAUCAUUAUUGAAAUAAACCUGAUGGGUUGUUGCUGGUUCUCUAGGGAGCAUGUGCACACCUUGUCAUCUUUAUAUCUCCACCUGUGCACUUUUUGUAGACCUUUCAGGUCUAUGUUGCUUCAUUUACCCCAAUGUAUGUUAAUAGAAUGUUGUGCCUAUAUAAUAUAUACAACUUUCAGCAACGGAUCUCUUGGCUCUCGCAUCGAUGAAGAACGCAGCGAAAUGCGAUAAGUAAUGUGAAUUGCAGAAUUCAGUGAAUCAUNGAAUCUUUGAACGCACCUUGCGCUCCUUGGUAUUCCGAGGAGCAUGCCUGUUUGAGUGUCAUUAAUAUAUCAACCUUCUCUUUUUUGAGUUGUUUGGAUGUGGGGGUUUGCUGGCCUCUUAAAUGAUUCAGCUCCCCUGAAAUGCAUUAGCAGAACAACCUGUUCAUUGGCGUGAUAAUUAUCUAUGCUAUUGAAUGUGAGGGCAGUUCAGCUUUCUAACCGUCCUCGGACAAUUCAUCAUUAAUGUGACCUCAAAUCAGGUAGGACUACCCGCUGAACUUAAGCAU